rnacentral:snoRNA from 1 species
ACGAUGACAAAUUGGAUGAUCAAAAUUUAAGUUCUGGACAUCUCUGUUGAUGUAAAAAACACGGUGAAGAAUAAGACGAGUAGAACAAGACGAGUAGAAAAAAGACAUUUCGUAUUUCCUUUGAUGAUGAUGACAU